UUCACACUCGUUUUGAUAUGAAAAAAUGCUUUUAAUUGCUUGCAAAUUCAAUUACUUACCAUUCCUCCCUCCCCAAACUUGGAGUGACUCUUCAUGCUGCUGGCAGAUGCAACACAUUUUUCAGCAACUUUGGGCAACCCCGACUUACCCACCACCCUCAUUUUGCCAUCCUCAUUUUCACCUGAGGCUCACAAUAUCUGUGAACAGCACAGCUUCAAGCCACGGUUCUGAGAUGCUAAUGAUGGUAUUUCUGGCGCCAGCUGGUAGGUGAGGAUAACAUUUGGGGCAAAAGGGUCUCCUUGGCCCAGCUGAAGACAAAUCAGGUGGACAACUGCCCCUUGCUGUAAUCAACUCAGCUGGCACUGGGUGUGUGCAGGGCCCUGUUCCAGGCAGUGUGGGGAACCAGACAUGUGAACUAAUCGUAUGACUACUGUGUCCCAGUGUGGAAUGUCCUGAGUGUGUGAACCCUUUGCUGCUCAAAGUGUGGUCUGGGGACUACCUACAUCAGCGUGACCUUGGAGCUAGGGGGAGAGGCAGAAUCUCAGGCCUGCUGAACUGGCAUCUGCAUUCUAACAAGAUCCCCAGGCCCAUCAAAGUUUGAGAGGUGUUGCUCUAACCCUCCAUUCCUUCAUGAAUCAAUCACAGACAUUGAUUAUCCAGCCUUGUGCUGAGCACAGGGAUGCAACAAUGAGUUUGACCCAGUGCACACCCGUAAGGGCUCUCAGUCUUGCAGGAUCUCACAGAGGCCUACAUUUGCUUUGGGAACCUGGGACUGGGGAAGAGCUUCUAAAGAGGGAAGGCAGUAAGGAGGUCUUCCAGGAAGAGGUGGCAUCUUGGCUAGUCUUUGAGCGAUGAGGGGGAUUUCACCAGAUAGAGAUAGGACAGAAGGGCAUACCUGGCAGAAGGAAUAGGGUGAACAAAGCUGGGUGGUAUCAUCUGUCAUUGGUGGCAAGGGGAGACUUAGUAUAUUAGUGUCCCAGGACUGCCAUAACGUGGGUGGCUUAAGCAACAGAGAUUCAUUUUCUCAUAGGUCUGGAGGCUGGAAGUCCAAGAUCAAGGUGUUGGCAGGG
rnacentral:lncRNA from 1 species